AGUGAACGCUGGCGGUAGGCCUAACACAUGCAAGUCGAACGGCAGCACAGUAAGAGCUUGCUCUUACGGGUGGCGAGUGGCGGACGGGUGAGGAAUACAUCGGAAUCUACUUUUUCGUGGGGGAUAACGUAGGGAAACUUACGCUAAUACCGCAUACGACCUACGGGUGAAAGCAGGGGAUCUUCGGACCUUGCGCGAUUGAAUGAGCCGAUGUCGGAUUAGCUAGUUGGCGGGGUAAAGGCCCACCAAGGCGACGAUCCGUAGCUGGUCUGAGAGGAUGAUCAGCCACACUGGAACUGAGACACGGUCCAGACUCCUACGGGAGGCAGCAGUGGGGAAUCUUGGACAAUGGGCGCAAGCCUGAUCCAGCCAUACCGCGUGGGUGAAGAAGGCCUUCGGGUUGUAAAGCCCUUUUGUUGGGAAAGAAAAGCAGCAGGUUAAUACCGCGCUGUUCUGACGGUACCCAAAGGAUAAGCACCGGCUAACUUCGUG
rnacentral:rRNA from 1 species